rnacentral:rRNA from 1 species
AGCGAACGCUGGCGGCAGGCCUAACACAUGCAAGUCGAACGAAGUCUUCGGACUUAGUGGCGGACGGGUGAGUAACACGUGGGAACGUGCCUUUAGGUUCGGAAUAACUCAGGGAAACUUGUGCUAAUACCGAAUGUGCCCUUCGGGGGAAAGACUUAUCGCCUUUAGAGCGGCCCGCGUCUGAUUAGCUAGUUGGUGAGGUAAAGGCUCACCAAGGCUACGAUCAGUAGCUGGUCUGAGAGGAUGACCAGCCACAUUGGGACUGAGACACGGCCCAAACUCCUACGGGAGGCAGCAGUGGGGAAUCUUGCGCAAUGGGCGAAAGCCUGACGCAGCCAUGCCGCGUGGAUGAUGAAGGUCUUAGGAUUGUAAAAUCCUUUCACCGGUGAAGAUAAUGACUGUAGCCGGAGAAGAAGCCCCGGCUAACUUCGCGCCAGCCGCCGCGGUAACAC